AGCUCCAAUAGCGUAUAUUAAUGUUGUUGCAGUUAAAACGCUCGUAGUCGGAUUUCGGGGCGGGGCCGCCGGUCUGCCGAUGGGUAUGCACUGGCGGGCGCGUCCUUUCUUCCGGAAGCUGGCCCUACUCUUAACUGAGCGGGGUCGGAGGUCGGAACUUUUACUUUGAAAAAUCAGAGUGUUUCAAGCAGGCAGCUCGCUCUUGCAUGGAUUAGCAUGGGAUAAUGAAAUAGGACUUUGGUGCUAUUUUGUUGGUUUCGAACACCGAAGUAAUGAUUAACAGGGACAGUCAGGGGCACUCGUAUUCCGCCGAGAGAGGUGAAAUUCUCAGACCAGCGGAAGACGAACUACUGCGAAAGCAUUUGCCAGGGAUGUUUUCA
rnacentral:rRNA from 1 species